GGUAGGCGAGAGUGAUAGACUUGGGCUGAGAUUUGUUACCAGUCAGUCUUUUUCUCUCUCCUAUU
rnacentral:pre_miRNA from 1 species